rnacentral:rRNA from 1 species
CCUACGGGAGGCAGCAGUGGGGAAUAUUGCACAAUGGGGGAAACCCUGAUGCAGCAACGCCGCGUGAAGGAAGACGGUUUUCGGAUUGUAAACUUCUGUUCUUAGUGAAGAAUAAUGACGGUAGCUAAGGAGCAAGCCACGGCUAACUACGUGCCAGCAGCCGCGGUAAUACGUAGGUGGCAAGCGUUAUCCGGAUUUAUUGGGUUUAAAGGGUGCGCAGGCGGGAGAUCAAGUCAGCGGUAAAAUGUCGGGGCUCAACCCCGGCCGGCCGUUGAAACUGGUUUUCUAGAGUUGGAGAGAAGUAUGCGGAAUUCGUGGUGUAGCGGUGAAAUGCAUAGAUAUCACGAAGAACUCCGAUUGCGAAGGCAGCAUACCGGCUCCAUACUGACGCUGAGGCACGAAAGCGUGGGGAUCGAACAGGAUUAGAUACCCUGGUAGUC